ACAAAAUAACAGCUGCAGAAAUGUACUUAGUUCAGGGAUAUGUGUAACGUUAUAUACAUCCAUUACAAUGAAACGAAAUAUUAUAUAGACUUGCCUUUUUUAUUUUCAUUUUAACAUAUAGAUAAAUUGAAUACAGACCAAAGAAAACCUGUUAGAUUUACCCCGCAGCUGAAUUAUAUGUUAUGUUUAACCACUAAAGACACAUCAGAGCCAGCGGCACAUAUCAGAAGGUCUAUCCAAGGUGAGGCUGCCUCUGGGCGGAUAGAUGAUCACUGAGCUCUCCCUGAUCGUGUGGAGCUCACCGUCUCAGAGAUCGGCGAAACACAUUUUUAAAUAGGCGCUGUCUUUAUAAAUAAACAACAGAUUUGAGUUUUAAACAACUACAUUCUCGCCUGAAAUACUUUUAAAAUUACAUUUCAUGACACAAUAACAGUAAUAUUUGAAAAUGAUCCAAAUAAAUGGUGGUUGAACUCAACCAAUGCUGCGUGAACUCAGAUGGCUUUGGCUACUGUUAUUUUCCCCUCAGUAUAUUUACAAUAAAACGAAAUAGGAUAUAAAAUACCACUGCCUCCUUUCGUUUUCAUUUAAACAUAAUAACAGCUGCAGAAAUGUACUUAGUUCAGGGAUAUGUGUAACGUUAUAUACAUCCAUUACAAUGAAACGAAAUAUUAUAUAGACUUGCCUUUUUUAUUUUCAUUUUAACAUAUAGAUAAAUUGAAUACAGACCAAAGAAAACCUGUUAGAUUUACCCCGCAGCUGAAUUAUAUGUUAUGUUUAACCACUAAAGACACAUCAGAGCCAGCGGCACAUAUCAGAAGGUCUAUCCAAGGUGAGGCUGCCUCUGGGCGGAUAGAUGAUCACUGAGCUCUCCCUGAUCGUGUGGAGCUCACCGUCUCAGAGAUCGGCGAAACACAUUUUUAAAUAGGCGCUGUCUUUAUAAAUAAACAACAGAUUUGAGUUUUAAACAACUACAUUCUCGCCUGAAAUACUUUUAAAAUUACAUUUCAUGACACAAUAACAGUAAUAUUUUGAAAAUGUUGAUCCGAAUAAAUGGUGGUUGAACUCAACCAAUGCUGCGUCAACUCAACCAAUCAGCAUGUUUAGCGCCAAAGUCCCGCCCCCGAAAGUUCCUGAACUUUAAAAAAGUACUACCUCGCCAGCAGGGACUUUCUGGGGGGCAUUUUUUUACCCGGAACUUUUAUUUAGUUCCUGGUUCCUGCGGUGGAAACACACCAAGUACCGGACCAAGUCCCUAGUUCCUGGGUAAAGUUCCUGCGGUGGAAACGCGGCUUAAGUUAACAACACAGAGAUAUUAGAAGCAGUUUUACUCACAGCAUGUGGUUCCAACACACAAUCGUGACCCUUUUCCGUUGGGACUGCAUUAUCCUUAAGAAAUAAACGAUGUGCAAUCCGAAAUGCAGGGAACAAACAAAAACACUUGCACAACUCCGUUGAUGCUCUGUAAAAAUAAACUCCAUCCACUGGUCCCUUAAUGCUGUUUCUCUUUUGGUAAUCUGUACAGGGUUGUCUUGCCCUGGCAACCAAAAACACACUUCUUUUGUGACUUUUCGCGACGCUCUCGCUCUGAUCAGGCUGUGCUCAGAGCCAUAUAGAGCCAUCUCUCUAUAUGGCUCUGGCUGUGCUCAGCCUCUCAGUGACAUGUUCUGCUAUAUGGGAGCGCAGAAGAGCGCGCACUUAGGACCCAUAUAAGGAAAUUCCGCUCCAUCUAACGUCACACAGAGCCAUACUCGAAAAAAACUUUCCGAAACUUGUGACAAACCGGAAGAGGUUUUUUUGGAACAAAAAUACUCCUUUAAACAUACAACUUAAUUUUUGAAAUUUUGUCCAUGUUUAGCAUGGGAAUCCAACUCUUUAACAGUGUAAAAAACUCAGUAUGCAUGAAAUAGCAUUUCACCCCCCCUUUAAGGAAGCCAAUAUUGUAUGUUAACUUUUAUUUAUUUUUCUUACAAUAUCACAACUGAUUGCAAAUAAAAAUUAAAUUUAAAUAAAAUAAUUUUACUUAUUGAAUUACCCAGACUUUUGUGGAUUUUUCUAUCAGAAAAGAGCAAAGCCAAUACAGCAAACAUUAUUACAGUAUCUUGAUGAGAGCAGAGGUUCUCGUUUAAAAUCCGGACUUUUAUUUUGAAAUAACGGACGUUUGUUGUGGCGUUCAUCGUCGGAACACCCAGAGCUCACCAACAUCUCUAUCGGUUUAUGAGGUGCUUUGAUUUUAAUAAUUUGAUUUUAAAUGAGUGAUACAAGCGAGACUAAUGAUGAUAAAAGCAGAAAUCGCAGCGUGGUGUAUGUGUACAGUCCGGAGUACAUCCAGACAUGCGACUCGCUGUCUAAAGUGCCAAACCGGGCGAGUAUGGUGCAUUCAUUGAUCGAGGCGUAUGGUUUAUUGAAAUACAUGAGGGUGGUGAAGCCACAUGUGGCUUCAAUAGAGGAGAUGGCCGUUUUUCACACAGACUCUUACCUGCAGCACUUGCACAAGAUCAGCCAGGAUGGGGACAAUGAUGAUCCUCAGUCUGUUGACUUUGGGCUGGGUUAUGACUGUCCGGUGGUGGAAGGUAUUUUUGAUUACGCCGCUGCCGUUGGAGGAGCCACUCUGACUGCUGCCCAGAAUCUGCUGGAUGGAAAGUGUGAUGUGGCCAUCAACUGGGCCGGAGGGUGGCAUCACGCCAAGAAGUAAUUCGGCACAACCGGCCUUGUGCCCAACCUCUAGUGUUUCACAUCCACAUCAAUCCUUGAGAUGCCAGUGGCGUCUUUAACAUAAGGACGAGGCAUCUGGGUUCUGUUAUGUGAAUGACGCUGUUCUUGGAAUCCUAAAACUGCGCCAGAAGUAUGAGAGAGUUCUCUAUGUGGAUGUGGACCUUCACCAUGGAGAUGGUGUGGAGGACGCUUUCAGCU